CGCGGCACGGAGCGGUGAGGUGUGAUGAGGUGUUGUGUGCGUGAUGGGUGAUUCACCUGCCCGGUAUUCCCGCUACGCUGGCCUAAUGUGACUCAUAACUGAAGAGAUAUUCGAAUAACAAGAGCUGAUCAGAAUUACAAGCCAUCGCGGAGACCUGGUAUAGAUAGUCACUCCCCAAUCUCGUGUAAUAAUCUUUUAUUCCUUGUAAUUGUGACUUAUUUUUCAUCCAUGGGUGUUUAGAUGCAGGUGAGAGUGGACGUAAUUUUCACCUGAGCCGUGGCAGGUGAGGGUUGCAGUCCGCGAGUGUCGGGGAGCGAAGAGUGGGCGGGCGCCGGAGAGCCGCGGCCCGCCCACCGCCCCCAGCCUGCGCGCCCUCCCACACUCACCUCUCACAUUUCCACACGAUUAUUCCACUUUUCUCACAUAUUCAUCGACAGGAGCUAGUAUUAGGGUAAGUCACGAUCAGUUCCGGAUACUCAGUUUCCAGCUAUAAUUGUGCGAGAGGAUAAUGAGGGAGGCGGUGACGGACUAGUGCACGGAGCAGCCGCUAGAUGGGGUCGGGUCUUGGAUGGAGGUGAGAGAGUGAGGGAAGCAACCGAGCGGCAGUCCGAGGCUGUGACCCCCAGUGACUAGGCGGGAACCUUUGCCGCUCCCAGCCUGCCCCGCUCUACCUUCCCGCUACUCACUCGUGGGUGUUGGUGGGCGUGGCUAUAUCGUCCCGAGCCUCCUUCCAUCCCUCAGUAUAUGGAGCUUCAUCGGCCUCCCUCUCCUGCAACAUUCAUCUUCUACAUACACUGG